AUGGCAUUUACACAUCACGGAAACCUAUGGGUCUAACAGCAGGUGCAGGCCCUGGAAGACAAGGGAGGAGCCUGUGAGCCACCGGCCCACGUGAAAGUAAAUGCAUGAAGUUCCCUCUCGCUGAACUGAAAAGAGCCUCAACCUGGACCUGACACCAACUUCGCCGGUGCUGCCUGGCUGGUUGCUCUAGCGCCCUGAAGGAGAGGAAUGCAGUCAUAUUUCACUGUGAUUUUCAGUGUCAUUUCCACGAAGACUAAUGAUGUUGAGCUUUUUUUUCUCCAUAAUACAGGAAAGAGACCCAAACCCAUGAAGAAUGAGAUACAUGUACAGUUUUGAUUAUAAAACCAAAGAAUAAUGGCUUCACAAGAUGACGGCUGGGCUCCUGGGCUGCCUUCAGUGUCUUUAAACAGGUAAUACAGAUCUUGCUUUCUUCUCUCUCUCUCUGAGAGAUCUUGACUGAGACAGACACACCCCAAGUGUGCAGCAUUUGAGGCGCUCCGAGACCCUCAUGAGCUUGGGUCCUCCAUGGCUGCCUCGUCACUAUAUGGUGAGUUCCUAAAAGGGGGCAAACUGAGUCUUAUCCCAUCACCUCUCAGUUCUUAUAUGCAGUAGGCAUGUAUGA
rnacentral:lncRNA from 10 species